rnacentral:rRNA from 1 species
UGGGGAAUAUUGCACAAUGGGGGAAACCCUGACGCAGCGACGCCGCGUGAACGAAGAAGGUAUUCGUAUCGUAAAGUUCUGUCCUAUGGGAAGAUAAUGACAGUACCAUAGAAGAAAGCUCCGGCUAAAUACGUGCCAGCAGCCGCGGUAAUACGUAUGGAGCGAGCGUUGUCCGGAAUUAUUGGGCGUAAAGGGUACGCAGGCGGUUUAAUAAGUCGAAUGUUAAAGAUCGGGGCUCAACCCCGUAAAGCAUUGGAAACUGAUAAACUUGAGUAGUGGAGAGGAAAGGGGAAUUACUAGUGUAGUGGUGAAAUACGUAGAUAUUAGGAGGAAUACCAGUAGCGAAGGCGACUUUCUGGACACAAACUGACGCUGAGGUACGAAAGCGGGGGGAGCAAACAGG